UCAUAUCUCCAUCUGCAAAUAAUGGAGAUGCCCCAGAAGACCGGGAUUACAUGGAUACUCUCCCACCAACUGUUGGUGAUGAUGUGGGUAAAGGAGCAGCACCAAAUGUUGUCUAUACGUAUACUGGAAAGAGAAUUGCAUUAUAUAUUGGAAAUCUAACAUGGUGGACAACAGAUGAAGACUUAACUGAAGCAGUUCAUUCUUUGGGAGUAAAUGAUAUUUUGGAGAUAAAAUUUUUUGAAAAUCGGGCAAAUGGCCAGUCAAAGGGGUUUGCCCUUGUUGGUGUUGGAUCUGAAGCAUCUUCAAAAAAGUUAAUGGAUCUGUUGCCUAAAAGAGAACUUCAUGGUCAGAAUCCUGUUGUAACUCCAUGCAAUAAACAGUUCCUGAGUCAAUUUGAAAUGCAGUCCAGGAAAACUACACAAUCAGGACAAAUGUCUGGGGAAGGUAAAGCUGGUCCUCCAGGAGGCAGUUCCCGUGCAGCAUUUCCACAAGGUGGUAGAGGACGGGGCCGUUUUCCAGGGGCUGUUCCUGGUGGGGACAGAUUUCCUGGGCCAACAGGACCAGGAGGGCCACCCCCACCUUUUCCAGGUAAAACUUUUCUUAAAUUACCAUGGAUAAAACAUGUCUACCUAAUACCUCUUUUCCUUUUCUCUCUUUUUCAAGUAAUGCAUUAUUAAUGUGACUUACUCUCCUUGUUAUGCUAUUUUUGGAAUCCAGGAAAUUUGAUCAAGCAUCUUGUUAAAGGAACUCGGCCUUUGUUCCUGGAAACUAGGAUUCCAUGGCAUAUGGGGCACAGCAUAGAGGAAAUACCCAUUUUUGGCCUAAAAGGUCUUUAUUUUUCUCCAAACUUGCUUGACUUAUAUAUAGAAUAU
rnacentral:sRNA from 1 species